rnacentral:rRNA from 1 species
CACACGACUCUCGGCAACGGAUAUCUCGGCUCUCGCAUCGAUGAAGAACGUGGCGAAAUGCGAUACCUGGUGUGAAUUGCAGAAUCCCGCGAACCAUCGAGUCUUUGAACGCAAGUUGCGCCCGAGGCCACUCGGCUGAGGGCACGCCUGCCUGGGCGUCACGC